rnacentral:tRNA from 1 species
GCAUCGGUGGUUCAAUGUUAGAAUGCUCGACUGCCACGCGGGCAGCCCAGGUUCGAUUCACCGCCGAUGUA